rfam:Gossypium raimondii Chr11_contig_1304, whole genome shotgun sequence.
GAGCCGUGCUGUGAGCACAGAGCGAACUAUUCUUUCGCCUUUUACUAAAGAAUACCGUGUGCUCCUAAAGCGGCAUACGCCUAAUUUUGGAUGGUUGUUUCGUUACUGGAAUGA